ACCGAGGAUUGGUCCAACAACCGAACCGGCAGCGGCCGGGGGAAGUCCGGUGCGAAUCCGGCGCUGACCCGCAACGGUGAGCUCGUUCGAGCAAGCCCGAGAACCCGUCGUUGCCGACGACCGCCC
rnacentral:ncRNA from 2 species